rnacentral:tRNA from 1 species
UCAGAACUAGCUCAACCGGGAAGAGCACAAGAUUGCCAAUCUUGAGGUUGGAGGUUCGAAUCCUCCGUUCUGAU